GAUGAACGCUGGCGGCGUGCUUAACACAUGCAAGUCGAACGGAAAGGCCCAAGCUUGCUUGGGUACUCGAGUGGCGAACGGGUGAGUAACACGUGGGUGAUCUGCCCUGCACUUCGGGAUAAGCCUGGGAAACUGGGUCUAAUACCGGAUAGGACCACUUCUUGGAUGUUGUGGUGGAAAGUUUUUUCGGUGUGGGAUGAGCUCGCGGCCUAUCAGCUUGUUGGUGGGGUAAUGGCCUACCAAGGCGUCGACGGGUAGCCGGCCUGAGAGGGUGUACGGCCACAUUGGGACUGAGAUACGGCCCAGACUCCUACGGGAGGCAGCAGUGGGGAAUAUUGCACAAUGGGCGCAAGCCUGAUGCAGCGACGGCGCGUGGGGGAUGACGGCCUUCGGGUUGUAAACUCCUUUCGCUAGGGACGAAGCGUUUUGUGACGGUACCUGGAGAAGAAGCACCGGCUAACUACGUG
rnacentral:rRNA from 1 species